CACCGGCAUCUGAUGAAGCUGCCAGCAUGAUCUAAUUAUCUUUCUUUCUCCGUUGACGAUGGAAAAGACAUGAGUGUUGAUUAGAUCAUGUUCGCAGUUUCACCCGUUGACUGU
rnacentral:pre_miRNA from 4 species